UACGUAGGGUCCGAGCGUUGUCCGGAAUUACUGGGCGUAAAGAGCUCGUAGGUGGUUUGUCGCGUUGUUCGUGAAAACUCACAGCUCAACUGUGGGCGUGCGGGCGAUACGGGCAGACUUGAGUACUGCAGGGGAGACUGGAAUUCCUGGUGUAGCGGUGGAAUGCGCAGAUAUCAGGAGGAACACCGGUGGCGAAGGCGGGUCUCUGGGCAGAGACUGACGCUGAGGCGCGACAGCGUGGGGAGCAAACAGG
rnacentral:rRNA from 1 species